GCCCGGGUAGCUCAGUGGUAGAGCGCAUUCUUGGUAAGAAUGAGGUCAAGGGUUCAAUCCCCUUCUCGGGCU
rfam:Candidatus Woesebacteria bacterium RIFCSPLOWO2_01_FTLL_44_14 rifcsplowo2_01_scaffold_1214, whole genome shotgun sequence.